rnacentral:rRNA from 1 species
UAGAGUAAUACAUAAGUAACCUGCCCUAGACAGGGGGAUAACUAUUGGAAACGAUAGCUAAGACCGCAUAGGUACGGACACUGCAUGGUGACCGUAUUAAAAGUGCCUCAAAGCACUGGUAGAGGAUGGACUUAUGGCGCAUUAGCUGGUUGGCGGGGUAACGGCCCACCAAGGCGACGAUGCGUAGCCGACCUGAGAGGGUGACCGGCCACACUGGGACUGAGACACGGCCCAGACUCCUACGGGAGGCAGCAUG